rnacentral:rRNA from 1 species
GAUGAACGCUGGCGGCGUGCCUAAUACAUGCAAGUCGAGCGAACGGACGAGAAGCUUGCUUUUCUGAUGUUAGCGGCGGACGGGUGAGUAACACGUGGAUAACCUACCUAUAAGACUGGGAUAACUUCGGGAAACCGGAGCUAAUACCGGAUAAUAUUUUGAACCGCAUGGUUCAAAAGUGAAAGACGGUCUUGCUGUCACUUAUAGAUGGAUCCGCGCUGCAUUAGCUAGUUGGUAAGGUAACGGCUUACCAAGGCAACGAUGCAUAGCCGACCUGAGAGGGUGAUCGGCCACACUGGAACUGAGCCACGGUCCAGACUCCUACGGGAGGCAGCAGUAGGGAAUCUUCCGCAAAGGGCGAAAGCCUGACGGAGCAACGCCGCGUGAGUGAUGAAGGUCUUCGGAUCGUAAAACUCUGUUAUUAGGGAAGAACAUAUGUGUAAGUAACUGUGCACAUCUUGACGGUACCUAAUCAGAAAGCCACGGCUAACUACGUG